rnacentral:rRNA from 1 species
GACGAACGCUGGCGGCGUGCCUAAUACAUGCAAGUCGAACGCAGUGGGGACGGGUGAGUAACACGUGGGUAACCUCCCAUCAGAGGGGAUAACACUUGGAAACAGGUGCUAAACCGCUACUGAUGGAUGGACCCGCGGUGCAUUAGCUAGUUGGUGGGGUAACGGCUCACCAAGGCCACGAGGCAUAGCUGAGCUGAGAGGGUGAUCGGACACACGGGGACGGCGAAACGGCCCAGACUCCGACGGGAGGCAGCAGUCGGGAAUCUUCGGCAAUGGACGAAAGUCUGACCGAGCAACGCCGCGUGAGUGAAGAAGGUUUUCGGAUCGUAAAACUCUGUUGUUAGAGAAGCGGUAUCUAACCAGAAAGCCACGGCUAACUACGUGCCAGCAGCCGCGGUAAUUC